GGCCUAUGCACUCAAUCUUGGGUUUGCUCUCCAUAUUUCAAGAUGAGAAAGCAAGUUCUGACCAGAGGAUGAUUGUUGACACAAUGGUGAAAACAAGCACUGUUCUCUCAACACUAAUAAAUGACGCAAUGGAGAUAUCUGCAAAAGAUGAUGGAAGGUUUCCAGUAGAAAUGAAGCCCUUUCAGUUGCAUUUACUGGUCAGGGAGGCUUC
rnacentral:misc_RNA from 1 species